ensembl:lncRNA
AUGUUUCUGGACAGAGAUUGCAGCCCUUUGGAGCUGUUCCUGGUCGUUGGAAGGGGUUGUUUGCCCAUUAGUAGAGAGUUUCAGCACAUACUAGGAAAAAUGUCUUCUCUGAAGAAUGAUGAUCUUAGAAGCCUUUUCCACCCUUCGUGGUUCUUUGUGUGGUGGAAUUUGUUUCCUCUUCCAGCACUGAACGCCUUGGAGUACAGGGACCUGAAGGUUUGGCUGUUCUCACCUGGCCCUGUAGAAUGGUGGACUUCAGUUUUCCAAAGUAUUGUGAUUGGUGGCAGGAGUCUCAAAAUGGUGAUACGACCAAGUCUGGGUGAAGAUUCAAUUAUUAAAUAAUACGUGGAUCCUUUGAUCACAAAUGUGCUGUUUCAAGAUGAAGUUGCAUCUUUACCGUUGUUUCAAAAUUAUUGCAUGUUUAUUCCUGGACAGCUAAGUGUGUUUCCCUUAAGUAAUGAUAAAGCUAAUUUGUCCUUGGGUACAGAAACCAGCCUGUAACGUGCAGCAGUCAUUCAUCAGGUGUUAAUUCCCUAUAAUACUGUCAACAACAAACUUCUAAUAGCUGUAAGUACAUCUAAAACUGUGCCCAUCUACAGAUAUAGUGGGAAAGGUUGUUUUCAAAUUCAAGAAAAGUGCUAAAGAAUGCUAUUUGUCCAUAAUUAAAUAUUGAGGACUUUUGU